rnacentral:lncRNA from 1 species
GAGCUCGGUUCCCAGGCUUGGGGUCCGAGGCAGAGAACGCGAAGGAAGAGACAGAAGAAGUCACUAUGGCAUAAGCAGAUCCUGAGCUCACGGACAUGAGGACUGGCCUGCUAGAGAAAGAGCGGCCCAGGCAGAGCAUGGCAGGAAUUGAGUACUGAUUGCAGUAGCUUUGGAGGAUGGAUGCUCUGUCUGACUUUCUUAUGAUGCUCCUGGAAGAUGAGACCCUCUAGGAAGAAGAGAGGCUCUCAUGUGUUCCAGAGUGACCUGAACCUCAAGGAUAACCUUAAACAUCUGACCCGCAGCCUCUGCUUCCCACUGCUGGAUUGUGAUGGAUCUCAUUCGUGCUUGUCUCACUCCUGGAACAAAACCUCUGACCGGAGCAACUUAAGGAAGGGAAUGUGAAAAGCUAUGCUGACAGGGGAGGUCUCAGUCUGUGGAGCUUACAUUCAGGGCGGGCCUUCCCACCUUAGUCUAACCACUCUACUCUCGGAAGAGUAUCUCCUACUGCAUCAGAAAGCCAACCAAAUGAUCCAUCCGGCAAUAUUAUGACAACAGAUUUAUCCAAAGGAUAUCAGUGUACCAGUCCACAUUCGCUGCCGCAGUAUCUAAACCAGCAAGACAUGUAACCAAUGGAUGAAAUGCAGAAAAAGAUGGCAUACACAUGAUUCCAUGUAUAUAUAGCACAUAUACAUAGCUACAAAGUAGCACUGUUCAGCCUUUAAAACAUAAAGAAAUCUCAUCUCUUCCGGCUUUAUUUAUGUUGCGUCAAUUAAACACACCAGCCCAACAACUCAGGACAUGAAGGGUUUAUUUGGCAACUUCACAACUGCAGUCCAUUAUUUCUGGGGAGUCCAGUCAAGAACUCAAGUUGCUGAUCACACCAUAUCCACAGUCAAGAGCGGAGAGGCAUGAGUGCACCAUGCUGCAUCUGGCUCUCUCCUGUCUCAUUCAGCUCAGGAGCCUCUGCCUAGGGAGUGACGCCACCCGCAAAGGGCUGGGUCUUCCCGCGUCAAUUAAAAAUGAAGACAAUUCCCCACACGCAUGCCCACAGACAAACCUAAUCUGGGCAGUUCCACAAAUGAGACUGUCUUCUUGGCUGCUCCUAGGUUGUGUCAAGUUGACAGUUAAAACUAAGGAGGACUCCGUCUUUCUUGAUUGACUAACCAGGGUGGACCAGAAAAACGUGAUACUAAGCGAUUAAGUACUACUUGGCUCUUCACACUUUGGAUGUCCUAGAAGGGGGUCAGACACCCAACCACACAGUCUGCAUUGACUCCCUCGAGUGUGAGUCAACUAAGAGUCACCUCUGUUUCACAGUUCAAGGAUCUCUGAGAACUCUGAAGACCCCACGAUUAUCCAUAGUGAGGGAUGUUGAGUCCCAGGGCUCAGAAUGUCGGCAGCUCUAGACAAACAUUCAGUUCUCUGUUUACAGUGCGUGUGGAUGCCCCUUCACUGGCCUUGAAGUGCAGAGGCAGGUCCAGCUUACACAGGUUCUACAUGGUCCUGAUGAAGAAGUUAUCACAGCAUGGUAGGCACCCACAGAUUAUCUCUCUCCAGCGCUAACAACACCCCCAAUCCCCCUUCUUCCCUCUUCUUUAUCUCCUGUGUCUCCACUGUUGAAGAGCCAGGGAGACUCCAGUGUCAUGGACUGGGUGUUAAUAUGUAGCUUCUUGGUGAUCCUGCAUAUUGAAAUCCCUCCUUAAAGAGAUGAUAAAUUCUAAAGUGAGAAAGGAUGCCAAGCUGGCCUACAUAAAGCAGGAGCUUAAGGGAAGGGCAGGAGAUGUCACCAGAGAUAACCUGCAACUUGUUUAACCACAGCUGUAUGCUCAGGGUCUUCUGGCAUCUCCAUGAGCGACUAACUCUGCCUUCUUUGGUACCUCUUAAGGGCUAUUUCCAGUACAAAAUGACCAUUCUAACACCUAGCUAGCCCUCAGCCCACCCACUACCCAAGCAUGUACAAACAAGAUGUACUAUUUCUGUAUCCACAGGCUUGCCUCCCUUCUCUCCCUGCUUUUUAAAUCCUGCUCUGGUCUCUGGCCUUUGGCUUCAUCUUUAAUCCAACUCCUCAAACAUGAGAAGCCUUUAUAUGUUCAAUAAAGUAGCAAUAAGUAGCAUGGAGCCCACGCACAGAAAAGCUGCAUUAUUCUUUGAUGGUCCCUCCUCCUAGGGAGGCAGGGAAACUUCUGUGGAGUGAUAUCUUGUAGACAACUGUGACAGAGGCUGCUAGCUGUUCCCGAUAUCCUCAGUGUCCCCUCACAUACUCGGUCAAUUCUGUUUCUUAGGCACAGGAGCUUGUGUAGAAAGACUUUCCCUCUACCCUCUGAGCGCUUGAUACCCAAGUGCAUGAGGUGACUGCUAAAAGACAGAUUGGCAGCUGAGACAGAACUCAUGGCUCAUGGUUGUCACAGGGAUGGAAGUCAAUACCUAUAAAACCAGAGGGAUUUAGAAACUCUAAAACCUUGUCACUUAGGCAGGGGUGGUGGCACACAUCUUUAAUCAUCCCAGCAUUUGGGAGGCGGAGGUAGGCCGACCAUUGAGUCUGAGGCCACUCUGGUCUACAGAGUGAAUUCCAGGACAACCAAGGCUACACAGAGAAACCCUGUCCCAAGGAACCAAAAGAAACUUUCAUAUUUGUGUGUGUAUGUAUGUGUAGUAUGUAUAUAUGCAUGUAUAUGUAUAUGAUAUGUAAGCAUGUGUGAUGUGAGGAGGAGUGGUUUACAAAUGUGUGUGUGAAGCUAUGUGUAUGUGGCUUGUAUAUGUGUGGAUGGAUAUGGAUAUGUGAUUAUGUAUGAUUUCAUAUGUGUGUGUGUACAUGCACAUAUGUAUGUAUUUGGGAAAUGGGUGGGUGGUAUGGUAUUUAUAUGUGUGUGCUAAAGGGGGAAUGUAUGUAUGCAUGCAUAUAUAUGUGCCUAUUUUUUUGUGUAGUGUGCAUAUGUAUGUAUUUUGUAUAUGUGUGUGGUAUGUAUGUGUGCAGUGUGUGUGAGGCAGUGUAUGUGAAACAGCAUGCAGUGUAAAGCAGUGAGCAGUAUAUGUGAGGUGGUAUACAGUGUGUGAGGCAGUGUGCAGUGUGUGUGAGGCAGUAUGCAGUGUGUGUGAGGCAGUGGGCAGUGUGUGUGAGGCAGUGUGCAGUAUGUGUGAGGCAGUGUGCAGUGUGAGGCAGUGUACAGUGUGUGUCCCUAUGCAGUGUAAGGCAGUAUGCAGUAUGUGUGAGGCAGUGUGCAGUGUAAAGCAGUGUGCAGGGUAUAUGACACUGUGCCAUGUGCAGUGUGAGGCAGUGUACAGUGUGUGUCCCUAUGCAGUGUAAGGCAGUGUGCAGUGUGUGAGGCAGUGUUCAGUGUGAGUCAGUGUACAAUGUGUGAGACAGUGUGCAGUGUGUGAGGCAAUGUGCAGUGUGAGGCAGUGUGCAGUGUGUGAGGCCCUGUGCAGUGUGAGGCAGUGAAUUUGGGUCCCUUUUCCAAGCAUCUGUGCUUGGGUAGAAGAAACAGGGACAGGCCGUCCGUCCCUGUACCCACUGUUGUCAGUACAUCAGAGCAGAGGGCUUCCUGAACACCUAUACCCAUCUGUAAGAUCUUUAAAAAUCCUGGGAGAAGAUUUUCCACCACAUAGCUGUGGGCCUCAUGCCUACCUAUAGGCUGAGGAACACAGUGUUGAUAGGACCAGCUGUCUCCACAGGAGCUAUCUGGUCAGCCUUCAGAGAAAAGAAUUCGGAGGGGGUCUGUUCCUGCAAAGGUGAGAGAGGCCUUGGGCAGAUAAAAGACUACAAGUUUCCAUGGGGGGCUUUUAAGCUUCUGAGGCGGGUACUUCCUGUUUGCCUGGCAUAGCCCUUCUGUGGUUGCUGCGGAAGGUGGGCUAGGCUAAUUGCCAAUUUGUGUGUGAAGUAGGAAAGGCUGGGCUUCUUUCAUCUUGAACUUUUAUUUCUUAUGUGUGCUGCCCUGAUAAAUCUGCUUAUCAUGGCUUUCUCUGGAUGGGUCCUACAGCCUUCAUGGUCUCCUGUGUCCCUGUUGAAAGUCUUAUUCACACACUUGUGUGCACACCUUGAUUAUAAACAAUUUUAUUUUUUACUUCUCUGCCUUUGGCUUACUUCAAACCCAUUGACUCCACCACCAGGAUGUAUAAAACAAAACAAAACCACCUUGAAUGUCAGGAAUCAAAAGCCCGUGCAGAGGAAACUGAGACUAUGCAGUUGCUUGCAUGAUUCAGAGAGGGGCCUGUUUAAGGAGUGAGGGACUAGUGCUUGGCAGGGCCAUGGAGACCAGGUCAUGGAGACCAAGCUGACCACUAAGUUCCAGAGCAGGAAAAGGCUAAACUGGGAAACUGAGGGCCGGGGAGAUGGCUCAGCCUAUAAAGUACAUUGCAGUCAUGGGGACCUGAGUUCAAUUUCCAGAACUCAGUUGCUAAAUCAAUAAGUAAUGUAGGAACUCUGGCCUGGGAGCGCAUACUUAUAAUCCCAGAGCUAGGGAGGUGGAAACAGGCAGCUAGGUCCCUGGGGCUUACGCGGUGGAUUCAAGGCUAGUGAGAAACCGUGUCUAUAAAAUAAAACAAAAUAAAAUAAAAUAAAAUAAAAUAGUGCAUGGCACCCAAAGAAUGACAGAGAGUAUUUUACACACACACACACACACACACACACACACACACACACACACACACACGUAGGAGAAAAUCCGAAUAAGCAUGUUGUUUCACUGUGAGAAGGCCAAGGCUGAAGAGGCUGCGACCACGACCAACGGGAAAUGAGUCUGGUGCUUCCUAAGGGUAGGAAGGGCUAUUCGGAGUGGGAGAGUGUUUGCCUAGGGAGUACAAGGCCCGGGUUUGAUUCCCAGCACCGAGGGGAGUGUAGGAAGUAGUGGGGAAAAGAAUACAGCCUAGGGGGCUGAUAGCGUAGAAUAACUCUUGUAAACUAUAUGGUUCAAUGAAUGACGCAGAUAACUGAACAGAAAACAAACAAGCGUGCCUGUCCUCAGCCAGGGCGCUAGGAUCCUGGCUACCCCAGUUGAGGAGUUCCGGGUCUUUCUCUGCUUUUCUCCCGAGUCUGGUCUCCGGUCAUCCUCCCCACCCCCAGCCCCACCCCCAGCCCGGGAGAAAGCACUUGGGAAAUAAGAGAUUUAAGAUCUGAUAUCUGUAAACGUGUCCUUCACCUUUGCUGACCUGUAGCUGUUUCUCCCGGCCGGGAAUUCUAAACUGG